rnacentral:lncRNA from 1 species
GGAGCCAAACACUAAAUAAUUGAAAUUCCUGAGCGCUUGUGUGGAGAGACACGAUGUUCUUUGCUGUGUGCAGGAAAGGUUAAUAAACACUGGUGACAUUGGGCAGCUGCUGAGGACUCGCAGCGAGCAGGGACACUUCCCAGAAGGCUACCUGCGCUCGAGCUUGUGCCCGAGACCAGCAUACCUUGAAGGCUUGGUUCUUCCUGUCCCUGCCCUCAGUCUGCUAGCUCCGGAAGAUGCACCAAAGGCACCGGAGGGACACAGAGGACAUGCUAGACCUUCUAAGUCAGGCUGGGCAAUCUCAGCCCUACACCCCUACUGGCACCACAGGAGGAAGGGUGCAGCCUCUCUGCUUUUCCUUAAGGUGAAGAAGCAGGACGAGAUGAUGUCCCCUGCCCCAGACCCGCUUCCAGACACCUGCUCCCUAGGAUGGAGCCAUUUGAGAUGGAACCUCGGGGCUAUCUGUGCCGCACUCCCCGUGAGGGACAUCAUGUGAUGGCAGCCACAGGCAGCCAUCAGAGUCCACGCCACCACGCUUCCCGUCCAGACAGAAUAAACACAUCCUUGCCUUAGAGACAAAGACUUCCUCCUCUGGGCGGAGCCACCUUCUGCUUCUAGCUGCAGCCGUCAUGUGGGCCCCUGCAGACAACUUGAUGACGUCCUCAGAGCCUUGCUGACCAGAGAAUGAAUCUUCCCUGGAUCUUGCACCAUGAGCAGCCACGUCCUGGGCACAGCUACACAGAGCCGGGUAGAAAAGGCAACCACUCAAGAUACUGAACCUCAUUGGGCCAGCCUUGGAGAUCUGCAAAGAUGGAAGAUGUGGUGCUAGUUACCAGUGCUGGACAGCAAGCCACCCCAAACUUAGUGACUCAGAUCAGCCAAUUUACUCCCACACUGGGAACUUGGACAGCGUGAAGUCUGUGCUCCUCUCAGUAGGCUGGGGACACUCAGCUGCUGAGGCUGGUCUCACCUAGAGGUGUCUUCCUCACCUGCCUGCUGGGCUGUUUGUUCAUGCAGCCCUGGUGCACAUGGUCUCCUUGUGUGGCCUGAUCUUCCUGGCGAGGCAGUUUCCGGUCCUGGAACUUCUUAUAUGGUAGCUCCAGGCUCCAAAGCUGAGUGUCCCCAUGUACCCUAGCAAUGUACUCCAGUCUUUUCUGACCCGGCUCAGAGGUGCAUGAUGUGACUUCUGCCACCAUCCACUGGGGACACAGACACAAGUGCACCCGGAUUUAAGGGCAGAGGAACAGACCCAUCUUCUCAAUGGCAGGAGUGUCAGAGAAUCAGUAGGCUUGUUUUGAACCUAAUGGCAAAGAGGAAAGAAGGCAGUGAGUGUGAUUCUGAUGAGGAUGGGG